rnacentral:rRNA from 1 species
GAUGAACGCUGGCGGCGUGCCUAAUACAUGCAAGUCGAGCGAACGGACGAGAAGCUUGCUUCUCUGAUGUUAGCGGCGGACGGGUGAGUAACACGUGGAUAACCUACCUAUAAGACUGGGAUAACUUCGGGAAACCGGAGCUAAUACCGGAUAAUAUUUUGAACCGCAUGGUUCAAAAGUGAAAGACGGUCUUGCUGUCACUUAUAGAUGGAUCCGCGCUGCAUUAGCUAGUUGGUAAGGUAACGGCUUACCAAGGCGACGAUGCAUAGCCGACCUGAGAGGGUGAUCGGCCACACUGGAACUGAGACACGGUCCAGACUCCUACGGGAGGCAGCAGUAGGGAAUCUUCCUCAAUGGGCGAAAGCCUGACGGAGCAACGCCGCGUGAGUGAUGAAGGUCUUCGGAUCGUAAAACUCUGUUAUUAGGGAAGAACAUAUGUGUAAGUAACUGUGCACAUCUUGACGGUACCUAAUCACAAAGGCACGGCUAACUACGUGCCAGCAGCCGCGGUAAUACGUACGUGGCGAGCGUUAUCCGGAAUUAUUGGGCGUAAAGCGCGCGUAGGCGGUUUUUUAGUCUGAUGUGAAAGCCCACGGCUCAUUCGUGGAGGGUCAUUGGAAACUGGAAAACUUGAGUGCAGAAUAGGAAGGUGGAAUUCCAUGUGUAGCGGUGAAAUGCGCAGAGAUAUGGAGGAACACCAGUGGCGAAGGCGACUUUCUGGUCUGUAACUGACGCUGAUGUGCGAAAGCGUGGGGAUCAAACAGGAUUAGAUACCCUGGUAGUCCACGCCGUAAACGAUGAGUGCUAAGUGUUAGGGGGUUUCCGCCCCUUAGUGCUGCAGCUAACGCAUUAAGCACUCCGCCUGGGGAGUACGACCGCAAGGUUGAAACUCAAAGGAAUUGACGGGGACCCGCACAAGCGGUGGAGCAUGUGGUUUAAUUCGAAGCAACGCGAAGAACCUUACCAAAUCUUGACAUCCUUUGACAACUCUAGAGAUAGAGCUUUCCCCUUCGGGGGACAAAGUGACAGGUGGUGCAUGGUUGUCGUCAGCUCGUGUCGUGAGAUGUUGGGUUAAGUCCCGCAACGAGCGCAACCCUUAAGCUUAGUUGCCAUCAUUAAGUUGGGCACUCUAAGUUGACUGCCGGUGACAAACCGGAGGAAGGUGGGGAUGACGUCAAAUCAUCAUGCCCCUUAUGAUUUGGGCUACACACGUGCUACAAUGGACAAUACAAAGGGCAGCGAAACCGCGAGGUCAAGCAAAUCCCAUAAAGUUGUUCUCAGUUCGGAUUGUAGUCUGCAACUCGACUACAUGAAGCUGGAAUCGCUAGUAAUCGUAGAUCAGCAUGCUACGGUGAAUACGUUCCCGGGUCU